UCCGCAGAGCAGAGACGCCGAGCGCCAGGAUGGCAGGAAGCCGCCUCGCGUCCAGGGGCGGGUGAGCGGAUGCGGCAGAUGUGCGGCCUGCGGGCGGCACAGUGUCGUUCCGCCUGGAAAACUCAGGAAGUCCUGCCGCACGCCGUGGCACCAAGGACGAGGUUUUUCACUGGGAAAUUUACCCCACGGUUUACUGGUCCCACAUAUGCCCCAGGGCACAGUGGCCUGAGUGCCCCCAGACCCCCUCUAUUCUGAGCCUCCGAGCCCGGAGUCCGUGUCCCCAUCGGACACACGGACGCCAAGGUCAGCGUUGGGGGAAUUUCCCCCAGAGGAAAGCCCAGCCACGGAUACAGACAGCACAGACGCAGGGCCUGGGACACGAGACACAGCAACUUCAGGGUCAUGCUGUCUGGGAUAACAGAUGUCAGCUUCUAGAAAGUUCUCCCAUAAAUUUAACAUGGGGCGUGUGCGUCUAGAGAAAACACAUUGUUUACUGACAUCACUCAGCUGCACGUGAAUACAGAGUUCUCUUUACUUUCAUGAGAUGGAGCGUGAGUGUAGAUGUCUCACUCACCCCGGCCUGCCCACGCACAUGUGUCUGCUUACCCUCAUAGACAUUCCAAUUUCUGAACUCUUCUAAGUGACAAUUAAAUGACCCCAACGAUUGAUUCACCACUUAAA